CGCGUAGGCGGCUUGGCAAGUUGGGUGUGAAAGCCCAGGGCUCAACCCUGGAAUUGCACUCAAGACUGCCUUGCUUGAAUUCGGUAGAGGUUGGUGGAAUUCCCAGUGUAGAGGUGAAAUUCGUAGAGAUUGGGAAGAACACCCGUGGCGAAGGCGGCCAACUGGACCGACAUUGACGCUGAGGCGCGAAAGCGUGGGGAUCAAACAGGAUUAGAUACCCUGGUAGUCCACGCCGUAAACGAUGCAUGCUAGACGUUGGAGGGCUUAGCUCUCUUGUGUCGCAGCUAACGCAUUAAGCAUGCCGCCUGGGGAGUACGGCCGCAAGGUUGAA
rnacentral:rRNA from 1 species